ACUAUUUUGGCAGAAUUAAGUGUAACAGAUUUAGAUUCUGUAAAUGUGAUAAAUAAUCAUAAGUAGUA
rnacentral:tRNA from 1 species